UUUUAUCAUUCUAUUUCUAUCCCCACGCCGACUGCCUUUGGUCAAUUUCCUCGGCAGUCCCACCCCAUAUCCUGCCUUCGGAGACGCCGCUUGGGCUGCUGGUUUCUACGGAUGCAGAGGAGCUACAUACGACCGAGAAUGUUUGGAGCCGGCCGGCGGGGUCAGACUUCAGAGGAGAGCUCCACCCGCAGCCAUGUCUAGGUCUUCAGAUUGGAUUUCAUUGAGGAGGAUGCGGGCGUGCCAAUGGCGCUCUGCAGUUUACAGCGGCAAAACGAGCACCACGUCAGACUCCACCGGUCCACCCUUCCCCCCAGUCCCUACUCGCUUACCGUGCCUCCCAGGUCUCCAACACUUCUCUCUCACGCCCUCUAUUUUCACAGCUGGAGCAUGCGAACGGUCAGAGCGGCGGCGCGGCCGCCAGAGUAGACCUUGCGAACGGCCGGAGAGAUGGCGUGGUUACCGGUACAAGACGACCUGCCCGCAGCAUCGGCGCAUGGGGGGCUUGCAAGCAAGUAACACCAGACGCGUAGAGAAGCAGAUGUGCUGCAUCGACCACGGCCACGACCUCGACAGCGGGCCGGCCGACGGCGACGGAGACAACCACGACGCCAGGGCAUAUCUGCUGUGACAACGAGGUAGAUCCGUAUGUGAUAUCACUGAUAUGGAGUAAGACAAAGCAUCGGGCCAGGUCAUCAGUUCUUUAUGGAAGAACAAUAUGAUGCCUUCUUUGUUCAGGUUCCCUUUACACAUUCAGUAUUGAUCUGUGAUGGUGGGCUUUAUGUUAUAGCACAGUGGAAGUAACAUUCAUCGAUCCAACGGUGCUAACUUCUAUGUUGACGAACCGAACAAACCUCAACUCUUCUCUUCGUUUUCUGAUUAAUUUCAUGUUGCUCUGUCGUGCUCCUAUGAUUUUUUUAGACGGAAGGCUCGAAAUGAGCCCGGCUUUGAAUUAACGAAGCCAUCAACCGGCUAGGAAGUACACCAGAAGUUACAACACACACGCGCCAAGCGCAAACCGAAACCCAAACAAAAGACAACACAUAUAACAUCAAGCCCGCUGAAGCGUCAACUUGAUCCAUGAAGAGGGAGCCUUGUCUUCUGCAGCACCGGAGCAAUCGCGGCCAUGUCCACACCAACAAACCUCCACCGCACCAAGACUGCAAUCCACGGGGAACUUCAACAACGGGCCGGCCACCUGGCAGAGCUUGAGGAUCCAAAGGAGGGAGGGGUCUUGCGGCGCCGCCUCCAAGAAGGUGAAUGGCGCAAGUAUGCGUCAUCGUCGCCGGCAGAGACAAAGGUCCUGCAAAGUUUUCACCCAGACCCGAGAGCUACCACCCCUGGAGCUCGGGCUAGGUCCAGACCAAGAACACAACAUCUUCCCCUGGCGUUGGGAUAAGCACACCGGCAAGACCACGACCAGACGCCGACCUAGCAAAGCCCCCCAAGGCGCUAGGGAGGACAUCGACUACCGCAGACAAACCGUGUAAAAGUAGCCAGGCCGACGCUGCGAGAUGGCUGCGACACCAGCGGGAGAUCACAGGGUGAUCCACAAGACACUUCCAGAGAGGCAUGCCCAAAGCGAGGCCCCCAAGAAUAGAAGGCUGAGACGGAGGGAUGGAGCCCAUCACUACGAUCAGGAGAGACAUCAUCAGGACGCCUUCAACAAGGGAACGACACCCGCAGGUGUCGCCGUCACCGGCACAGGCCACAGCCAUGUGCAGCUUUCGCCGAGGUCCAAAACCCGAUCAAUGUUCCGGACGCCAUCGCGAGGACGUAGAGCAGACAGAGCAGAAAUCACUGUCGCGCCCCCAACCAAAGUCGAAACCUGAACUAGCCCCAACUAGACUCAACCGCAAGGUGUACGCCAACUGGCUGGCAAUGCUCGGCCAGGCCCAGAUCUAGACGUCGACGACGCUAGGUCGGCGGCAACCCAACGACCCCACCAUCCCCAGGGCGUCAACACCUGCACAGGCACGACCAAACUGAUCGGAAGGAAAAAAACCAGACUUUAGCCGCCGGGGGCAGCUGCGAUCUUGGGCAAGCUGCCAAGCCGGCGAGCAAGCGGCGGCCCAGGGACCCAUCCCACAAAGCCAACCAGGACAUAGCCCCCAAGCUACACCAAAACCGCCGGAGAGCCCCCGAGAACCUGGGACUCCGACGUCAAUGGACAUUAAGGUCGCCGGACCCGGGCCUGACGGAACUACAACAGGACCAGCCAUGGCUGAGGCGCUGGCAACCACCAGCGGGCAAGGCCACCAGCAGCGAGAGGAGCCGGCCAGGCCCUAACAGGCCCAGAUCUGGGCCCACAAGCCCAGAUCCCACUGCCACGAGCAAACCCUAGGCGUCCACGCCGCCGGCGGACGGAGCAGCGGCGCGCACGAGGACCCUUCCCCGCCGCGGCCGUCGGCCUCGCGGCCCCCCAC